rnacentral:rRNA from 1 species
UACGUAGGGUGCGAAGCGUUGUCCGGAAUUAUGGCGUAAAGAGCUGUAGCGGUUUGUCGCGUCUGCCGGUAGAAAACGUCCGGGGCUCCAACCCGUCGGUACGUUGCGGUGGGUACGGGCAGACUAGAGUGUGGUAGGGGAGACUGGAAUUCCUGGUGUAGCGGUGAAAUGCGCAGAUAUCAGGAGGAACACCGGUGGCGAAGGCGGGUCUCUGGGUAGUAACUGACGCUGAGGAACGAAAGCGUGGGGAGCAAACAGG